UCCCUGGUGGACUAGUGGCCAGUAUGUGCUGCUCUCAUUGCCGUGGUCCAGGUUCGAUUCUUGGUCAGGGAA